rnacentral:rRNA from 1 species
AUUGAACGCUGGCGGCAUGCUUUACACAUGCAAGUCGAACGGUAACAGGCCGCAAGGUGCUGACGAGUGGCGGACGGGUGAGUAAUGCAUCGGAACGUGCCCAGUCGUGGGGGGUAACUACUCGAAAGAGUAGCUAAUACCGCAUACGAUCUAUGGAUGAAAGCGGGGGACCGUAAGGCGUCGCGCGAUUGGAGCGGCCUAUGUCGGAUUAGGUAGUUGGUGGGGUAAAGGCUCACCAAGCCAACGAUCUGUAGCUGGUCUGAGAGGACAACCAGCCACACUGGGACUGAGACACGGCCCAGACUCCUACGGGAGGCAGCAGUGGGGAAUUUUGGGCAAUGGGCGCAAGCCUGACCCAGCAAUGCCGCGUGAGGGAAGAAGGCUUUCGGGUUGUAAACUGCUUUUGUAAGGAAAGAAUCAGUUCUGGUUAAACCGUGGGGGUAAUGACGGUACCGAAAGAGAAAGCACCGGCUAACUACGUG